AGCGGCGAACGGGUGAGUAAACGUAAAGCGAUCUGCCCAUCAGACGGGGACAACGAUUGGAAACGAUCGCUAAUACCGGAUAGGACGAAAGUUUAAAGGUGCUUCUGGCACCGCUGAUGGAUGAGCCUGCGGCGCAUUAGCUAGUUGGUAGGGUAAAGGCCUACCAAGGCGACGAUGCGUAGCCGACCUGAGAGGGUGAACGGCCACACUGGGACUGAGACACGGCCCAGACUCCUACGGGAGGCAGCAGUAGGGAAUCUUCGGCAAUGGGCGAAAGCCUGACCGAGCAACGCCGCGUGAAUGAUGAAGGCCUUCGGGUUGUAAAAUUCUGUUAUAAGGGAAGAACGACUUUAGUAGGAAAUGGCUAGAGUGUGACGGUACCUUAUGAGAAAGCCACGGCUAACUACGUGCCAGCAGCCGCGGUAAUACGUAGGUGGCGAGCGUUAUCCGGAAUUAUUGGGCGUAAAGAGCGCGCAGGUGGUUGAUUAAGUCUGAUGUGAAAGCCCACGGCUUAAUCGUGGAGGGUCAUUGGAAACUGGUCGACUUGAGUGCAGAAGAGGGAAGUGGAAUUCCAUGUGUAGCGGUGAAAUGCGUAGAGAUAUGGAGGAACACCAGUGGCGAAGGCGGCUUCCUGGUCUGUAACUGACACUGAGGCGCGAAAGCGUGGGGAGCAAACAGGAUUAGAUACCCUGGUAGACCACGCCGUAACGAUGAGUGCUAAGUGU
rnacentral:rRNA from 1 species